rnacentral:lncRNA from 1 species
GGGAACACGAGGCUAUUGUCAUCCAUAGAGGUAGCAUUAAGACCUGACUGACAAAAGCCUGGAUGCACAUCAAGCUCUCGACAUCACACAGAGCCCGUUUGACAGAAGUCAGCUUAACUGAGUAAGAUAUGUUGAGCCACUGACGUCCGAUGACCAUGCAUCACCUCAGUCAGAAAUGAAAAGGAGGCGCUCAGUCCCAGAACCACCCAGCCACAGAGCAGCAAGGACUUUGGAGUCUAAAAACUGAAGAACACACUAGUAAGCCAGGAGAUGCCUGACAAGAGCUUAUGAUAUGGCAAGACAAUUGCUUACCUGCCUGGCAUUCAAGGAUGCUCUCUGCAUAUGACAUUCCUGCAUCAAUGCUGCCUAUCACUCUGGGUCCCCAUCUAUCACCACCUGUGGCCUACUAACAAUUGCUGAGACAGGAGAGCAGAGGAAGCCUGCAGUGGGGUCAGCAAAGCUGCUGACUUAACUCCAGCAUCCAGACUCCGUAUUUAACUUGAUGAGGAUAAGAACUGUAACUCCGCUAUUGAAGGGCUGAAGCUUCAGCCCAGGGGAACAAUAGGUA